UCUCCGUAGGUGAACCUGCGGAGGGAUCAUUACCGAGUUAGGGUCUCACCGGCCCGAUCUCCCAACCCUUUGUCUACUUGACCAUCGUUGCUUCGGCGAGCCCGUCCUCACAGACCGCCGGGGGGUCUUCGCACCCCUUGGCCCGCGCUCGUCGAUAGCCCCCAAAUUUAUAAAAUUCUUAACUAAACGUGUCUUGAAUCUAAGUAUUAUUGUUAAAUAAAAACAAAACUUUCAACAACGGAUCUCUUGGUUCUGGCAUCGAUGAAGAACGCAGC
rnacentral:misc_RNA from 1 species